GUACGAGAGGAGAAGGAACGCAUUGCUAAACAGCUAGCAGAAGCUAAUGAGGACACGAUCUUGAAGUGAGCUGUCUAAAAUUAUGCCUGUAUCGCUUAUAUUGUAAAGUUCUCGUUAACUGUCUGGAUAAAGAAUGAUGCUUGUAUUCUGCCACUUUGGUUUUACAGUGCCCUUUUCACACCUUUCACUGUUUUCUUAUAGAUCAUGUUAGAUUAAUGCCUCAUUUGUGAAAUAACUGG